GAUGAACGCUGGCGGCGUGCUUAACACAUGCAAGUCGAACGGAAAGGCCCUGCUUUUGUGGGGUGCUCGAGUGGCGAACGGGUGAGUAACACGUGAGUAACCUGCCCUUGAUUUUGGGAUAACUUCAGGAAACUGGGGCUAAUACCGGAUAGGAGCUCCUGCUGCAUGGUGGGGGUUGGAAAGUUUCGGCGGUUGGGGAUGGACUCGCGGCUUAUCAGCUUGUUGGUGGGGUAGUGGCUUACCAAGGCUUUGACGGGUAGCCGGCCUGAGAGGGUGACCGGCCACAUUGGGACUGAGAGACGGCCCAGACGGCUACGGGAGGCAGCAGUGGGGAAUAUUACACAAUGGGCUGAAGCCUGAUGCAGCAACGCCGCGUGCGUGAUGACGGCCUUCGGGGUGUAAACCGCUUUCGCCUGUGACGAAGCGUUAGUGACGGUAAUGGGUAAAGAAGCACCGGCUAACUACGUG
rnacentral:rRNA from 1 species